GUAGGUGGCAAGCGUUGUCCGGAAUUAUUGGGCGUAAAGCGCGCGCAGGCGGUCCUUUAAGUCUGAUGUGAAAGCCCACGGCUCAACCGUGGAGGGUCAUUGGAAACUGGGGGACUUGAGUACAGAAGAGGAAAGCGGAAUUCCAAGUGUAGCGGUGAAAUGCGUAGAGAUUUGGAGGAACACCAGUGGCGAAGGCGGCUUUCUGGUCUGUAACUGACGCUGAGGCGCGAAAGCGUGGGGAGCAAACAGGGAUUAGAUACCCUGGUAGUCCACGCCGUAAACGAUGAGUGCUAAGUGUUAGGGGGGUUUUCCGCCCCCUUAGUGCUGCAGCUAACGCAUUAAGCACUCCGCCUGGGGAGUACGGCCGCAAGGCUG
rnacentral:rRNA from 1 species